AGAGUUUGAUCCUGGCUCAGAACGAACGCUGGCGGCAGGCCUAACACAUGCAAGUCGAACGCCCCACAAGGGGAGUGGCAGACGGGUGAGUAACGCGUGGGAACAUACCCUUCGGUUCGGAAUAGCUCAGGGAAACUUGGAUUAAUACCGGAUACGUCCGUAAGGAGAAAGAUUUAUCGCCGAAGGAUUGGCCCGCGUCUGAUUAGCUUGUUGGUGAGGUAAUGGCUCACCAAGGCGACGAUCAGUAGCUGGUCUGAGAGGAUGACCAGCCACAUUGGGACUGAGACACGGCCCAAACUCCUACGGGAGGCAGCAGUGGGGAAUAUUGGACAAUGGGCGAAAGCCUGAUCCAGCCAUGCCGCGUGAGUGAUGAAGGCCUUAGGGUUGUAAAGCUCUUUUACCCGGGAAGAUAAUGACGGUACCGGGAGAAUAAGCCCCGGCUAACUUCGUGCCAGCAGCCGCGGUAAUACGAAGGGGGCUAGCGUUGUUCGGAAUUACUGGGCGUAAAGCGCACGUAGGCGGAUUUUUAAGUCAGGGGUGAAAUCCCGAGGCUCAACCUCGGAACUGCCUUUGAUACUGGGAAUCUUGAGUCCGGGAGAGGUGAGUGGAACUGCGAGUGUAGAGGUGAAAUUCGUAGAUAUUCGCAAGAACACCAGUGGCGAAGGCGGCUCACUGGCCCGGUACUGACGCUGAGGUGCGAAAGCGUGGGGAGCAAACAGGAUUAGAUACCCUGGUAGUCCACGCCGUAAACGAUGGAUGCUAGCCGUUAGACAGCUUGCUGUUUAGUGGCGCAGUUAACGCUUUAAGCAUCCCGC
rnacentral:rRNA from 1 species